AACGAACGCUGGCGGCAUGCCUAAUACAUGCAAGUCGAACGAACACUUCGGUGUUAGUGGCGCACGGGUGCGUAACGCGUGGGAAUCUGCCCUUGGGUUCGGAAUAACAGUUAGAAAUGACUGCUAAUACCGGAUGAUGACGUAAGUCCAAAGAUUUAUCGCCCAGGGAUGAGCCCGCGUAAGAUUAGCUAGUUGGUGAGGUAAAGGCUCACCAAGGCUACGAUCUUUAGCUGGUCUGAGAGGAUGAUCAGCCACACUGGGACUGAGACACGGCCCAGACUCCUACGGGAGGCAGCAGUAGGGAAUAUUGGACAAUGGGGGCAACCCUGAUCCAGCAAUGCCGCGUGAGUGAUGAAGGCCUUAGGGUUGUAAAGCUCUUUUACCCGGGAUGAUAAUGACAGUACCGGGAGAAUAAGCUCCGGCUAACUCCGUG
rnacentral:rRNA from 1 species